AAUCUGGGGUCCCCGACCUCCGAGUUGUAAUUUGGAGAGGCAUCUUCGGGGGGGAGCGCCGGCCCAUGUUCCUUGGGACAGGACGUCACAGAGGGUGAGAAUCCCGUGCCUGGCCGGCUGCCUCCUCCCGGGUGGAGGGCCUUCGACGAGUCGAGUUGUUUGGGAAUGCAGCUCCAAGUGGGUGGUAAAUUUCAUCUAAAGCUAAAUACCGGCGGGAGACCGAUAGCGCACAAGUAGAGUGAUCGAAAGAUGAAAAGCACUUUGAAAAUAGAGUCAAAAAGUACGUGAAAUUGUUGAAAGGGAAGCGCUUGAGACCAGACUCGGGCCUGGGCAAACAUCGCGCCCCUCGGGGCCGUGCAAUUGCCCGGGCCUGGGCCAGCAUCAGUUGGCGUGGCGGGACAAAGGCGCGGGGAAUGUGGCUCCCCUCGGGGAGUGUUAUUAGGCCCGCGCUCAAUGCCGCCGACGCCGACUGAGGACCGCGCCUCGGCUAGGAUGCUGGCUUAAUGGCCUUCAGCGACCCGUCUUGAAACACGGACCAAGGAGUCUAACAUCUAUGCGAGUGUUUGGGCGACAAACCCUUGCGCGGAAUGAAAGUGAGCGGAGGUGGGAACCCCCCCGCGGGGCGCACCAUCGACCGAUCCUGAUGUCUUCGGAUGGAUUUGAGUAG
rnacentral:rRNA from 1 species